rnacentral:rRNA from 1 species
GACAGAGGCCUCAAGCGUUAGGCGGAAUCACUGGGCUUAAAGCGUGUGUAGGCGGAUCGUUAAGUGUCUUGUGAAAUCCCACGGCUCACCCGUGGAACGGCUGGGCAUACUGGCGAUCUUGGGCCAACUAGGGGCAACUGGAACAAACGGUGGAGCGGUGAAAUGCGUAGAUAAUCGUUUGGAACGCCAAUGGGUGAAACAGGUUGCUGGGAGUGAUGCU